AUUGAACGCUGGCGGCGUGCUUAACACAUGCAAGUCGAUCGGUAACAGGUGUAGCAAUACAUGCUGACGAGAGGCGGACGGGUGAGUAAUGCUUGGGAAUCCUGCCUAUUAGUGGGGGACAACCCGGGGAAACUCGGGCUAAUACCGCAUACGCUCUACGGAGGGAAAGCCGGGGACCGCAAGGCCUGGCGCUAAUAGAUGAGCCCAAGUCGGAUUAGCUAGUUGGUAGGGAACGGCCUACCAAGGCGACAAUCCGUAGCCUGGUCUGAGAGGACGACCAGCCACACCGGAACUGAGACACGGUCCGGACUCCUACGGGAGGCAGCAGUGGGGAAUAUUGGACAAUGGGGGCAACCCUGAUCCAGCGACGCCGCGUGGGUGAAGAAGG
rnacentral:rRNA from 1 species